GACGAACGCUGGCGGCGUGCUUAACACAUGCAAGUCGAGCGGUAAGGCCCUUUCGGGGGUACACGAGCGGCGAACGGGUGAGUAACACGUGGGUGACCUGCCCUCAGCUCUGGGAUAAGCCUGGGAAACUGGGUCUAAUACUGGAUAUGACUCCACGGUGCAUGUCGUGGGGUGGAAAGCCUUGUGCGGCUGAGGAUGGGCCCGCGGCCUAUCAGCUUGUUGGNGGGGUGANGGCCUACCAAGGCGACGACGGGUAGCCGGCCUGAGAGGGCGACCGGCCACACUGGGACUGAGACACGGCCCAGACUCUACGGGAGGCAGCAGUGGGAAUCUUGCGCAAUGGGCGAAAGCCUGACGCAGCGACGCCGCGUGAGGGAUGACGGCC
rnacentral:rRNA from 1 species